rnacentral:sRNA from 1 species
CGAGCGAUCAUAAGGGAGCUGACCGCAAAUCUGCCGUCAUCGACUUCAAGGUUCGACUCGAGCAAUAGUGAGAGAACGUUGCCGCAGGCAACGGUCCGAAGGGUGAGGAGCUUUAGCUCCGAAUAAUCCUUCCCGCUAUAG